GGCGAACGGGCAAGCAGAAGUAACUAACAGAGCGAUACUUCGCGUAUUGAAAGAUCGCUUAGCUCGAAUCAAUGGAUUGCGGGUGGACGAACUACCUAGUGUCCUUUGGGCUUACUGAACUACUAUUAAGACCGCGACGGGUGAGACCCCUUUCAACCUCACGUACGGUACAUAAGCGGUGAUCCUAGCGAAAAUAGAGGUGUCGACAUUACGAUUGGAGGCUUAUGAUGAGGAAACGAACGAUGACAAACUCCGUACCAACCUAGACCUGGUAGAGGAGGUAUGAGACCUGGCUUACAUUCAGACCGCAACUUACCAACAAAGAGUAGGUCGGUACUAUAAUGCCUGGGUCAGAAAACAACACUCCGCAUCGGCAACCUGAUUCUUCGGAAGGUUAUGGUACCUGAGCCCGGUGUUGGUAAACUCAAACCGAAUUGGGAAGGUCCAUACCGAGUUGUACUCCUCAACAGCCUUAACCUUGGCCUCCUCCAUCGCCUGAAGCAGUAGUUCGGUUCGUUCCUUCACAUGGGCCUCGAGAUUCUUGACCUCCCUCUUCAAUGUUGUUUCACGCUCUUCGUGCUCCAUCUUCUCUGACAUCAGCAGAGUUAGUAGCUCCUUCUUAGCUCGCGCGUCAUUCUUCGGUUGGUUGAUUUCGUUGCGAGCUAAGUUUAGUUCGGCGUGGGCAUUUCGGGAAGACUCCUCGGCUUCAAGAGCCUGCUUCAGGUUCACCUCGGACUGAUAAGCCAAGGCGUGGAUGGAGGAGUUCACCUGCCAAGAGAAGAAAACAAGUAUAAGUAUACAAAAAAUCUAAGUAUGAGACAAUUUGAAAGACAAGUUCAAGAACGUACCACCAUAUAGUGUGUAGCCGCUCGGGCCCCGAGUUGAGCAACUAGCAAGUCGGCCCAACGAGCAACCUCCUCGGUGAACACCACAUCCUUGCUCUUGAGAAGGCCAAACUUUGGAGUCAAAAUGCUCCAAACUGGAGCAUCACUACUUGAAGAAGUGGCAGUCGCUAGGACGGACUCUGAAGGAGUAGCCUCCUCGGGCAUGCGGUGUGGGGUGGGCUUGCCCGAGUCCUCCUCGGCCAAAUCGAUUACGGGAGACUGCUCGACAAUUGGUGAGUGCUCGGGCUCAGGAAUGACAACCUCAGUUGUAGCUGCUUCACUCUCGACGUGAGCCUUUUUGGAGGCUCUCUUCUUUUUCUUCCCCUUCUUCAUACUCUCGAAGAGCUCAUUGGUAGGGAUGUCGUCCAUGGCAGCUGCGAUGAAAAUGAGCUAAGUCAAAUACAAUACCAAAGUAAAACGAAUAGAAAAAAGUACAACAAAUAGUGACCAACCAAGAGGACUUAGGUCGUCCUGCACGAGCUUCUCCUUGGUCACGAAGUUUUUGAACUUUAGGCCGAGCUCCGCCCAAGAUCGGACCUCCUCCAUUGUCUUCAGGUCUAGUCUAACGCCGGGGUCUUGGAUGGAUGCCCUCCAAUGAGUCGGGAAGGUCCACCCCUCGGUGUUACGGACCACGAAGUAAUGCCUCUUCCAGGCUGGGACCUUAUUAUGGAGCUCGUGCAACAGUUUGUAUCUAGGACGAGGUGACAAGUAGUAAGUUCACUUGUGCUCAGGCAGAACACAGGACAAUUUUUUCUUAAUAGAAAGGAUCGAAUAAAAGACGUCGAGGUCAAGGGGACGAUUGUAAUCAUGGAAAAGAGUAAUGGUCCCUACAAUAUUACGGAUAGAGUUCGGGUGUAGCUGGUCUAUGGUAAUGUUAAAGAAUUUAACGAUUUCGAUUAUAAGAGGGUGAAGUGGAAGACGCAGACCGACUACCAGCUGCUCCUCGAAGAUCAUGACCUCGUUGUGAUCAUAAUCCCAAGGAAAGUUGCCUAAGGGGAUGCUAUAUACAAGGUCAUUAGGGAGUCUGUACCGGGAUACUAAAGUUAGGAGCUUGUCCGCCGUCAUUAUCGAUGGGCCGAAGUUGUCUGGCAGCCGACCUCGGUGUGAGGUGGAGGCCGAGUUACCAAAGGCCUCUCGCUCUCGCCGAGGUGAGUUCACCACGAGCGGACUGAGGACCGUGUCUUGUCCCGAAGUGACCACCUCGGUGAGGUACCCACAUCGGCCCCAGUGGACUUGCCGCUCCUAUCUAAAAGAUUAUCUAAGCUAAGGCUAGACAUGCUAAAGGAAAGGACAACGGAAUCAAAAGGAAAAAGCAAAGGAAGGUGGACUUACCAAAAGGAAGACCGAAGAAAAGAAGGCGACCUUGGACCCAAAAAAGGCUGAUACCAAAUUAGAAGAUUUGAGCGCAACCUAAAAAUUUGCGGAUUUGCGGACUUGUGGCGAGGAAAAUGGGCCCUUGGCCCCUAUUUAUAACCAGUAUAUCCGGGAAUCAACGAUCAAGAUCAACAUGAUCCGACGACUCCUAAGGAAACCGGUUGCACGCCCCUCGAGGUUUAAAUUGAUUUAGCGCGUGUUUUGACGUCCGCGGAGUUUAUAAACAGUGUGACGUCCGCGCGUAGUUGAGACGCAACUUGGGUCAUUUCAUGGUUGAGCCAGGUGGUUGAACAGGCCCGACCAACGGUUCGCCCUUCAAGUUGUCUAGACUUCGUGCCAAAUCCACAUGGACUCGCCAUGAACUCCCUGUACCGGGUUAGGACCCCUGGCACGAGGAGUGGGGGGCAAUUGAUGAAGGGUGAUUUGGCACAACCUAGCAAGAAGGAGACACGUAGGCGUGAUCUGAUCGAGGGGUGACAACUCAGCCAAGCAAAUCCAGUUCGCAACAUUCGGAGCUCGGGUAUUCAACCACCUCGGCCCAAAAAACCACCUCGGUGUAGAGGCAUCUCGACACCCAAUCCAAUUUGGGACUAAAGAAUCGAAGUGGCAGUUUGGGUUAGAGAGCCAAAACAUCAAAUGAUCGACUCCAAAGGCCUCCCCAACGGGCCCCAAAUUUCUCGGGAUCACAAUAAGACUCGCUCCACUUGAAUCGGAGAUAAAACGAUAAACCUUAUGAACAUACUACUCUCCUUCAAAGGGGUGCUUUCCCCUUUCGCAAGGCAAAACGGUAUCUUACUGUAGAUUCCCACGUGCUCACACUACAUACGUACGAAGUCUUUCAAUUGCAUUAUCCGGCCACCGCAUGUGCAACACGUAUCCUCCUUUUCUUUGUUUUCCACGCAUUCUUGCUCUCAUCCUCUCUCCCCUUCUCGUUCUUGCUCUCUCGCUCACAGAAACAUAAACCUCUCUCUCCUGCUCUCAUCCCGCUGUUAAUAGUUGCAGUGGCGACGUUUCUUUUAAUUUUUCCCGUUAGUCUCUCUAUUUCUAUCUCUAUUUCUAUCACUCUCUCUUGCUCUCUCUUUCGUUCCCUUCCCCCUUCUUCCUCUUGCAUUUUCUCUCCUGUUCAUCGUCUCUUUCGACGGUAGCGGAGGAGAUCGCAACGGCGAAGGAGUGAUCGCCGGAGUGGCGGCGUCUCAAUCCACGGGAGUUGUCAUCUUUCGAAUGCCGGAAACCUGAGGCCAAAGCCGCACCUCCUCUGUUCAUCGACGUUGUCAGACCAAGAUCUUGUAGCUUCACCGUUCAGACGAGGAAACCGGCGCAACUGCCGAGAAGGUGCUCCCGGGUAGAAGAACCUAAUCUGGGAGUUCAGUUUACUCCUAUGGAUUGUUAGAUCGCCAUCGAAGCAGGUCAUCCUCUCUUUCUGCAAAUUACCUCGGAAUGAAACAGACUUCUGAUUCACCUGCUUUGCAGCGUCGAUCAUCCUUCUCUUUGUGUGUAGUUUGUUUUUUCUUUCUACUUUUUUUCUUGUUUCAUUUCUCAUAUGUUUCUGCUGUUAAGGAUCUGGGAUCUGAGUGGGGGAUUUUUGAGUUGGUUGAGUACUUUGUUGACCGAAGAGGACUGUGAGGGAUAGGGAAGGGAAUGAAAGAAAGUACUGCCACAAAUCGUUCAGCAAUUUUAACAUAUUCUUUGAAUGAUCUUGGUUAAAAUUGAUGAUUGAUCAAAACAAUUCUUUUUUGCCUGGCAGUAUUUUGUGGACAUGGACGAUACUGUUCCCCAAAAGGCAGUUGUUGUUUUAAUGUUUGGUCCAUUUUCCUUAGCUCAUUCUAUUUACUUGUUAUUUAUCGGAGAACGAAUCUUCUGGAUUAUAGGUUUAUGGUCUUACUAUGAACCUUGUUCAAGGGCACACGGUGCCUCAAAAGGUUUGUUUUUGACAAAUUAGAAAUAGUAGGUGAGACCAUUUUUCAAAUGCUUAAACACCCAUUACGAUGGUUUACUGUAUCAUCUGUUGGUUCACAAGACUAGUCCAAGAGGGAUCCAUUUUAGACGCGUUGGACCACGUCAAAAGGUUUAUUUUGAGUCUGAUGAAAUGCAUGCAUGUAUUGUAACGUGCGGUGGUCUAUGCCCUGGGCUUAACACAGUUAACAGGAUCCUUGGGAUAGAGAAUGAAUGCUAAUUGAAAAGCUGGCUUCACUCGAGGCACCCUAUAGAGACCAUGCUGUUCCCUCCAACGGGACAUUGAAGGUGACUUUAGCAACUGUAAGAUGAGGAACAAUAGCCAUUCUUCAAGUGAAGGGGUCAAACACAUCUCACCAUUAUAGGGAGCUCUUUAAAGAACGUUUUCAGGUAAGCAAUCUUCAUCACUGUGCAAGUGGCUAAAAUGUUAGAAAGUUGUUUAUGACAUAAACCACAUUAGUCAUGUCAGGUUAAGAGAGUUUAUGGGACUAUAGUUUUGGUGGAUUGGUCAGGUGCAGGAGCCUGAAUGGCUACCCUGUUAGAAUUUGGGAAAUUGUCUCUUGAACUACAAAAAGUGUCAUGAGAAAUUGGAGCAAAAACCAAAUCUUAUUACAUACACAUUUUAUUUAAAAAUUAUAGGCUUACUUUUCUGUGUGGUUUGUUGAGUCAUUAACUCAUUUAAUUUCUUUUCUCACCAUAUACAUCCACUGCUUCCAUAGAGCUUUGAUGUUCAAAUAAUUACUCAGACUUGUAUAAUAAAUGUUCCCCUACAUUAGCUUUUUCAAAUUUCAAAGUAGUUUUGUUUUAUUUCCACAUUUAAAUGAAUGAAAUUAUCUUUCGUUCUUUUCAUUUUAAAGGUUUUAGAAGCAUUUCUCUCAUAUAUAGAUUUUCCUGUUUUUGGUUCUUAUCCUAGAGACAAAUAAUGUGUCACAUGUACAAAAUGUUCAAAUGAAUGGUGCUGGCCCAAAAUUUUACUUUAGGUUUCCUUAUGUUACAAAUGUAUUUCCCUUGACCUAAUCUGUUGCUGAACUCAUUUUUAAUUAUCGGGUAAUGCACAGGAGAAGGCAAUCUCGGACACACUUUGUAACGGUUAGCAUUGAAACACCCAUUGCAGUUUGGACUUGUAGCAAACCAGAUUCCUCAAUUAUGGCAUCCAUGUUUAUGGUUUUUGUUAUAAGCUGCAUAUUUCCUUUGAUGGGGAGGACUAAUUUGUCCACCCCCACCCUAGAGGAACUGCUCCCUUCCUCCCUGUAAUAAAACAAGAACAGAGAUGAUUGUUCACAUUUUGUAAUACUACAAAUUGCUCAGAAAGGAAUUACCAAAAAAACAAAAAAGAAUUGCGCAGAAGGGGAUGGUUUAUGAGAUUUUGCUCACUCCAUAGACAAAAUAAAAUAAGGCUUGGUGUUAGCAAAGAGAGGUUGUAUAUGUUUUAUUUUUUAAAAUUUUAAUUUUUUAUUCUAAUGAAAACUAUUUAUUAGGGUUUUCUUCUCAAUUUUGUUUGUUAUUCUCUAUUCUAAGCUCUAUUUUUUGGUGGUUUCCUUCUCUUUGGAAUGCAUACUCAUUCUCCUCUUUUCUCUUCUCAGAUUUAUUAGUUGUUUUUUGUUAUGGGUUCUGUUUUUUUUUCUUCUCUUUUCGUUGCUUGGCAGGUGUUGUUUGCGCUUCUUCUCCGAUGGUAGUUUCCUCUGUUCAUGGAGGUUGUAGUGGCUUCGUUCUUUGGUGGAGAUACUUUGUGUUUAGUGCAUGGUUAGGGUUUUCAGUUCGUCUGUUAGUUGUUCUAUUAUUGGCAAUAUGGUUAUUGUGGUUCAUGGUGUUGAUGGUGACAUGUAGAGAGAGAGAGAGAGAGAGAGAGAGAGAGAGAGAACCAAGGUCAUGAAAGCAUGGACUCUCAUGAGUAUGGGAACAUCACUGGAUAGAGUUUCUUCUGCUCUUCGUUCUUCUCUGAAUUGGCAAUAUAGCACCAAAGAGAGAUUCAAGGCUAUGAAGUAGGAUUAUCUCCAACUUCCAGUUUAGGGAUAUGCAGUAAGAUUUUUGAAAUAUAAUAACUCCCUCAACCAUUCGUUCCAAGCUGAAGCACCAGUGACUCCUGAUAGGAUAUCUGAUUUGGAUAUUCAGGAAAUGUUAUAGGAAGAUCAGUUUUCAGAAGUAUGAGACAAGGAAAAUGUUUUCCAUACAGUUCCUCCUAGUGCAGUGGAGAACUACAGAAAAUUUGUUGAAUCUUACUAGGCUCAAUAUGAGAUUCAUAAUAAGGGAGGUGAAGCAUUUGGUUAUGCAAGUAAGAAUGGAUUUUGUCCAAGUGCAGAUAUCAACAAGUAGCUUUGCUGAUACAUUGAGUUGACAAGGAGUGCAGAGAAAGCAAUUUUUUUUGGCAAUAGAAGUUGUUGAUUUGGACCAACAGACUAAGAUAGUGGCAGAGCUUGAUGGUCAUGUCAUGCGUUGUGUCCGUGACCAGAAUGGAAAUCAUGUUAUACAGAAAUGCAUUGAAUGCAUACAUCAAGAUGCUAUUCAGUUUAUUGUCUCACCAUUCUAUGACCAAGUUGUGACACUGUCUACUCAUCCAUAUGGCUGUUGUGUCAUACAGGAUGACGAAGGAAGUGUGGAAAGUUCCCCCUCAAGAAUCAACAGGUUCUUCUCUGAAGUUGCAGUGAAUAGGAAUUUUUUGCCUCCCCAACAAGAUAAUCCUUUUUGUUAAGCAAAAACUGAUGGUAGUUUCUGUAAAAAUGGGUCCAGUGGUUAUUGUUUUUGGUUAACAGAUGGGCUUAAAUCUUUUUUGUUGGCCAGCUGUGGUGGAUGUAAAUCUGUUUCAGCCGAAUGUUAUGAACUAUCAGCUAUACUGAACUAUUGCUUAGCUGCAAAAAAUUUGGGUUGUAAUGCUAUUAGUAUAAAAUGUGACACUGUAAAUUUAGUUAAUGUGCUGAAUCAGAAAUCUUUCGAUUGUUCC